rnacentral:misc_RNA from 1 species
GAUGAAGAACGUAGCGAAAUGCGAUAAGUAAUGUGAAUUGCAGAAUUCAGUGAAUCAUCGAAUCUUUGAACGCACAUUGCGCCCCCUGGUAUUCCGGGGGGCAUGCCUGUUCGAGCGUCAUUUCAACCCUCAAGCUCUGCUUGGUAUUGAGUCCAUGUCAGCAAUGGCAGGCUCCAAAAUCAGUGACGGCGCCGCUGGGUCCUGAACGUAGUAAUAUCUCUCGUUACAGGUGCUCGGCGUGCUUCUGCCAAAACCCCAAUUUUUCUAUGGUUGACCUCGGAUCAGGUAGGGAUACCCGCUGAACUUAAGCAUAUCAAUAAGCGGAGGA